rnacentral:lncRNA from 1 species
GGUCCUAGGUUCUCUGAGAAAGCAAGCUGGGUAAGCCAUGGGUUGCAGGCCAGUAAGCGGCACCCCUCCGCCGCCUCUGCGUCAGUUCCUGCUUCCAGGUUCCUGUCCUGCUUGGGUUCCUGUAGCUGCGAAGAGCAGGGAUACAGAAGUUGCACUCUCCCGGUUGCACGGCUGUGGGUGAGGAUGUGAGCUCUUAGCUUCCUGCCUCCGGCUGCCAUGAUUCCCUACAGCAAUGGACUAUCCCCCCUCUGGAAACUUAAGCCCAAAUAAACUCACCUGUGCUCUCCUGGGCUUGGGGUUCUAUCGUAGCAACAGAAAAAAGUAACCAAGUCGGGGCUGGGGAGCCAGUGUUGGAAGGGUGCAUUGGGCAAAGGGAGCUUGCUCGGCGCCAGCACAUCUUCUAACCCUCCAGGUAGCCGGUGGUAAACAUGGGCGUUUGAUAGCUCAGGUAACACCUGCUCCUCCACCCCACCCUGGUCCUACGCAGUACUCGCUAAGGCAUCAAAUCCAAGUCUUAAAUUCUGUGUUGACACCGAGAUUCAGAGGUACAGCUGCUAGCCCAGGUCAAUUAAAAUGACUAAAAUUCCUGCUA